GUGAAUGGGCGAAAGCUGAUCCAUCAAUACCGCGUGUGUGAAGAAGGCCUGAGGGUUGUAAAGCACUUUCAAUAGGAAGGAAUACCUAUCGGUUAAUACCCGGUAGACUGACAUUACCUAUACAAGAAGCACCGGCUAACUCCGUGCCAGCAGCCGCGGUAAUACGGAGGGUGCAAGCGUUAAUCGGAAUUACUGGGCGUAAAGCGUGCGUAGGCGGUUAUUUAAGUCAGAUGUGAAAGCCCUGGGCUUAACCUGGGAACUGCAUUUGAUACUGGAUGACUAGAGUUGAGUAGAGGAGAGUGGAAUUUCAGGUGUAGCGGUGAAAUGCGUAGAGAUCUGAAGGAACACCAGUGGCGAAGGCGGCUCUCUGGACUCAAACUGACGCUGAGGUACGAAAGCGUGGGUAGCAAACAGGAUUAGAUACCCUGGUAGUCCACGCCGUAAACGAUGUCGACUAACCGUUGGGUUCUUUAAGAACUUAGUGGUGGAGCUAACGUAUUAAGUUGACCGCCUGCGGAGUACGGCCGCAAGGCUAAAACUCAAAUGAAUUGACGGGGGCCCGCACAAGCGGUGGAGCAUGUGGUUUAAUUCGAUGCAACCGCGAAAAACCUUACCUACCCUUGACCUGUAGCGAAUCCUUUACAGAUAGAGGAGUGCCUU
rnacentral:rRNA from 1 species